AUUGAACGCUGGCGGCAGGCCUAACACAUGCAAGUCGAGCGCGAAAGGCUUUCGGGCUGAGUAGAGCGGCGGACGGGUGAGUAACGCGUAGGAAUCUACCUGGUAGUGGGGGACAACUUGGGGAAACUCAAGCUAAUACCGCAUACGCCCUAUGGGGGAAAGCGGGGGACCUUCGGGCCUCGCGCUAUCAGAUGAGCCUGCGUAGGAUUAGCUAGUUGGUGGGGUAAAGGCUCACCAAGGCGACGAUCCUUAGCUGGUCUGAGAGGAUGAUCAGCCACACUGGGACUGAGACACGGCCCAGACUCCUACGGGAGGCAGCAGUGGGGAAUAUUGCGCAAUGGGGGCAACCCUGACGCAGCCAUGCCGCGUGUGUGAAGAAGGC
rnacentral:rRNA from 1 species